UAUAUAAUUGCUUGAAAGUGUAUAUAAAACAUCCAAGAUUGAUAAUACAAUAGCAUGGAACAAUCAAAAAUCUAUAAUAACUAAAUAGUUCAUCCCCAUUAUCCUAUUUCUCUUCACAUGCAACUUAUCCACGUCAGCAUCAGUGCCACAUCAACGUUUAGUUAGAGGAUUACAUUGUGGGACCAAACAUGUACACCAGAGAACAGUCAUGUUAGCUUCAGUUACUAUCAGUAGGACCGGCGAGAGAGGCUGCCCACGCACCUCUAUUUCCGUCUGUGGCGAUUCCCAUCGCAUCCUUCCCAAACAGAGUGCCUCGCCAGUUCCCCACGGCAGCGGAUUCCCCUUCGUCUUCAUCUUCUCCAAUCUUCAUCAAAUCCCACUACACAACAAUUACUUUGUUGAUUCAGUUGCUCUUACGAUCUGGUAUUUAUCUCCGGGCCGCUUGCGAUUUGGCAAGGUAAGCGAUGGCGAGGACGUGCCCCCUUGCAACGAGAUCCACAGGCAGUCGUCGCAGCCCUGCCUCCGGCUUCCCCAACGUAGGGGCCCCCACCCUGGAAGAAGUGCGCCUCUCGGCGGAUGCCACUGUGCCGACAUCGAUUCCGGCCACUAUCGGCGAUUACCUUGCCGCCCUGUGUCGGGUGCCUCGACAGAAGGCCGGGAGGCUCCCGGUGGAGCGGCCAACCCAUCUCGGUGCCGCUCAACUUCCCCACCUCGCAUUCGCUGGGCUCUCGCUUGGAUGGACGCUCUUCCCGGCUACUCAGCCAUGGAGUGGACAUCGCGCCCGGGAGGUCUCCAGCCGGUGGACCUUUUUAUUUUCGGCCUUGAAGGGCUGUGCUGGUGGUGACAUCGGGUAGGGCCUCCAUUGAUAUUGAUAGCCAUGACUUGCAGGAGUGCUAGAUCGACGUCCUCCCGCAGGUGCCGCCUCGGCUGAUUCAGAGACGACAUUGACUGCGGCAAUGGUGGCCCUUCAUAGCAAGUGACAUUCUACUGCAGCAGUGGUGCCUUUUUGCUUUGGGGCAUCUGCGCUGGAAGUCUGGCUCCUUUCUAUCAGCGAUGGAUUUGCAAGGUAUUCAGUAAUUGAUGGUUGGAGCUCCCUAUCCUAAUAAUAUCCGAGAUGGUGCUCCCCAUCAUCUCAGGUGGUGCGCACUGGACGACGACCAAGUAGUCAUCUUCGUCGGUCCGUUCACUGCAUAUACAUACUCUGCAGAUUUUUGUCUCCCUACUGCAACGCGCGGGGCAUCUUCUAGUUAUAGAUACGUUGGAGACGUAUCAAGCAUCCUGAAGUUUAAUUCCAGCUCAUUCUCGAGUAGGUAAAUGACAAAAACAAAUUUUUUGAUGUGGAAUGCCACCUAACAUAUUCAUCAUAUUUUUUAUUCUUUUCUAGCAUGGAUAUUUUGACUUGAAUGGUUCAAAGCAAUAGUAUAUAAUUUUACAUGAAGACAUCAAUAGUUGAUACAUCUCCAACGUAUCUAUAAUUUAUGAAGUAUUCAUGCCAUGUUUCCAACAAUUUUAUAUGGUUGGGGUGCAAUUUUAUAUGAUUUAAACGGAACUAACCUGGACUGACGCUGUUUUCAGCAGAACUACCAUGGUGUUGUUUUUUGUGCAGAAAUCAAAGUUCUCCAAAUGCAGCGAAACUUUUUGACGAUUUUUUGGAAGAAAAAAGGCACUGGAAGCUUCGUCAGAGGGCCAGAAGAGCCACGAGGGCCCCACUAGGCACCAGGGCGUGCCAGGUGGGUCUGGCUCGCUCUGGUACCUAGUGGGCCCCUCUAGGCUCAUCUUCGCGUGCGAUUAACGCCAAAAGAUCCUAUAAACACAGAAACCCCCCAAAAUAACCCUAGAUCACAAGUUCCGCCGUCGUAGGCCUCUGUAGCCAUGAAAAACCAAUCUAGACCCUGUUCCGGUACCCUGCUAGAUAGGGAAAUCAUCACCGGAGGCCAUCUUCAUCAUCCCGGCGGCCACCAUGAUGAGGAGGGAGUAGUCCACCCUCGGGGCUGAGGGUUUG